GCGAGUGAAGCGGCAAUAGCUCAAAUUUGAAAUCUGGCGUCUUCGGCGUCCGAGUUGUAAUUUGAAGAAGGUAUCUUUGGAAUUGGCUCUUGUCUAUGUUCCUUGGAACAGGACGUCACAGAGGGUGAGAAUCCCGUGCGAUGAGAUGCCCAAUUCCGUGUAAAGUUCCUUCGACGAGUCGAGUUGUUUGGGAAUGCAGCUCUAAGUGGGUGGUAAAUUCCAUCUAAAGCUAAAUAUUGGCGAGAGACCGAUAGCGAACAAGUACUGUGAAGGAAAGAUGAAAAGAACUUUGAAAAGAGAGUGAAAAAGUACGUGAAAUUGUUGAAAGGGAAGGGCUUGAGGUCAGACUUGGUUUUACCAGGCCAGCAUCAGUUUGGAUGGCAGGAUAAUAGCUAAGAAAUGUGGCACCACCUCGGUGGUGUGUUAUAGUCUUGGUUGAUACUGCCUAUCUAGACUGAGGACUGCGUCUUUGACUAGGAUGCUGGCAUAAUGACCUUAAGCCGCCC
rnacentral:rRNA from 1 species